GACGAACGCUGGCGGCGUGGAUUAGGCAUGCAAGUCGAACGGUAUCAUCCUUUCGGGGGUGAGAGAGUGGCGAACUGGUGAGUAACACGUAGGUUAUCUACCCUCAAGACGGGGACAACCCAGGGAAACUUGGGCUAAUACCGGAUGUGAGCAACUUUUAGUUGUUUGAAAGGUGGCGUAAGCUGUCGCUUGGGGAUGAGCCUGCGUCCUAUUAGUUAGUUGGUGAGGUAACGGCUCACCUAGGCAAUGAUAGGUAGGCGGCCUUAACGGGUGGUCGCCCACACUGGGAUUGAGAUACGGCCCAGACUCCUACGGGAGGCAGCAGUCGAGAAUAGUCUACAAUGGUCGGAAGACUGAUAGUGCGACGCCGCGUGAACGAUGAAUCCCUUCGGGGGUGUAAAGUUCUUUUAUAUGUGAGCAGUGCUUUCUUAUAUUAACAGUAUGGGGAGAGAGAUAUUAGCAUAUGAAUAAGCAACGGCUAACUCCGUGCCAGCAGCCGCGGU
rnacentral:rRNA from 1 species